UUCACCGAAGACACCGCAUACCCGCCCGCGCACCCGCUCACGUCAAUCACGCCCCCUUCUCCUUCCCCGCCGCACGCCUGCUCCUAAUCCUGGAUCCCCUCCGCAGACCCCAUCCAUCUCACCGCCUCCACAUUGGUGGCAAUCCAGGAAGACAUAGUUGCGGCGGCAGCGCACCGCCUUGCUGCCUCCCUCGUCCAUCCACAUCAGCCCAUCCAUCUGCUUCGCUUUUGGUGGCGGCCCAUCCAUCUGCUUCGCUUUUGGUGGCGGCGGCGGUCCUUGGAACCAGGAGGAGGCGGCUAUGUCGCGGCGGGCACAGAGGGACUGCAGCGAUGCGCCGACGCUUCCAUCUGCUUCCAGCCUCACCUCCCCAUCCACGUCGCCCUUUUCUCCUUCGCCCCACGAGCUUGCCUUCAAGACGCUCGACGUUUGCAACGCGGCACGCGACGGCGUCGUCCAGGUGCUCCGCUAGGAGCCCCUCUCCAACAUUGUGGCUUCCUUGCUGCGGGGCCCAUGGAGACCCACGGGGACCAGCUUUGCUACGUGCGUAAGUCCCUCUCCGGGCUCCUUGUCAACGACACCGCGGCGUCCGGCCGUCGCAUCCACGAGCGAGAGCAUGAGGACAUCACCACGGGGGCAGGGGCAGCAAGUUCUGGUCUUCUGGAGGUGUCUUCCAUCGGUGGAGCAGAAGAAGCGGUCUCACAAUGUCAUGUUGAAUAGGAACGCAGACAUGUGCUGUUGUUACAAAUCUUUAUUAGAGAAGAGAUUUGUCCUCCAACAUUGAUGCGAGUGGUAGAAAAAAUGGUGAGUUUUCUUCAACUGAUUGGUGUUGAGAUAAAAUGAUCAAAUUCAAUUUUACCAUGUAGCGCACUAAAAUAAAGAGAACCUGGUGGGAGAAGUAUCAUAUGCUUUUUUUUGUCUCUGGGUUGGUUAUUGCACAAAAAAAAUAUCGAGAACCUGAUUAACUUUGUGUUUGUUUCUAUUAGUACACCUAUAAAGCUAUUGAUUUAGCAUUCUGGGAAUGUCAAUGGUUUCUAUGAAGAGCAGCCCAUGAUGGUGGGACAAGAUAAUAUGUUAAGCUAGAUUGCGUGUCAACCUAAUGGGACAUUGGCUCCGAUGUCAAGAAGUGAACCCAACUAAUCAAAACUGAAGUUUUAACCGGACCAUGCAGACUGCAGUGGAUGUUAUUGGUAGUAAAAAUUAUACUAAUGGAACAUUUCAUUACGUGCACCUUCACUAACGAUGGUGUCAGGGUGUACAAUCUGAACCAUCAAUUUGGUAUUUUUCCUCCAAAAACUGAAUUUCAAAAUAUUUUAUUAUGGAUAUAUUUAAUUGGGAUAAUACAAGCAUGUCUGAAAUCUGAGCAACUGAAUCUCUAGCUCAUCUGAAAAGCUGCUGCUAUUCAGUAAGUAUAAGCUAUAACCCUUACAUUGUACUUAAAGCAUUUCACUAGCUUUUCUGGAGGAAAGAGGCUUCACUUUCUUGAGUUCAUCACUAUUUUUUCUCUAUUUUCAUCCUGCUUAUCAAGGAAUCUAUUCCUGUUGCCAUAAGAUUUGAGUAACAUUCUUUUUAUAAAUUAUAUGAACUAUAUUGAAAGAUUGCUCAAGCAGUACAUGAAAGAUUGCUGAAGCAUUCUUUUAUAAACUUAUUUGUUAAUCAUUUUCCAGUGAUGUAGGGUUGCAGAAUAUAGUUUGUUGUAACCUUUACCGGCUUUAAUGCCUUCAUCGAAUGUAACAGCACAAGAUAUAAUGUGAUUUCUAUAUUUUUUUUCUGAAACAAUGGUGCUCCAAUAAAAAAUAGUGUGGUGUAUUGUAUUGUAGCACCUAAACAGUUCAAAUGAUGGUUACAAUUAAUUUGUUAUUACUGUCCAAUGCACAUUCCUAAGCCAAUCAAUAAAUUUAACCAGUUUAAUUUUGUUUCCUUCAAAGGCUAGACAGAAAAAGCAUUGUUUGGUACUUUUUACUGAAAUGUGGUCUGGUGGAAACCGGAGACUAUCGGACUUGAGGCCUUAGAUUAUUGGAAAUUUCUGUAUCUUGGAUUCUUUUAGUAGCCUAUUGAGAAAGUCUUUUUGAUAUAUUUUUUGUCAGUCAUACAACAUCUAAAACUUGUCUGAUUUAAGUAUUUCAAGUAUUGAAUCCUCUAUGGAGAGUUCAUGCCUCUAUAGUUGAACAAGUUGGUUCAAUAGAUUGCGUGAUGGGUUAUUUAGACUUAUUAAAUUGCCAUAAUUAUUGAGUAAACAACAUUUAUUUUCUGCAAUGUAAACACUUAGAUAAUGGCAAGUUUUACUUGAUCUGUGCCGAUAGUAAUUUUCGUAUCCUGUAUCGGUGCUGCAUAGAUGAAAAAGUGAUAUAAGCAAUGUAUAGGAUUCUAGCAAAAGAGAAUGCCCAAUUUGUCUUCCUGAUUGAUCUCCCUCGAAUUAGGAUGCCAUGGGACUCUUAAAGAAUGUCAGGUUACAAAGGAUAUGCCACUUUAAAAAUACCGAGUUGACUAGAUUAGUGUCUUGCUAUACCCAGUUAUGUGUUUCCUUGGGGACUACCAGAGGGUCAAGAACGUGUACAACUGAGACAAGGUUUGGAACUACUACCAAGACAAGAUAUUAGAUUACAGAAUGCUUACUAAGUUACUAUUUAAUUACAAUUAAUGGUGGGAGAAACGUUGGAUCCCAGUAUUCCAGUAUGACCCCUUUAUUAUGUUUGGCAGCCUGCCAGCUUAUGUAUGGUACUUUUUUGAUGACACUAAUAGGUUAUGCCUGUAAUUUGAAUUGGAGAUGCCACUUCAUUGUGUUUUUAGCUUCUUUUCAGACUCACUCGAAAAUGUUACAUAUUAGUAGUAUUGGAUAUAUAUAUAUAUACUUUCUGCAAAUUACAAUGGAAGAAAACACUGGUCUAUGAAAGCAAGGAAUUUAUGGAGUUUUCAAGUACAUUGGGGCCAGAGAAGAGCACGACAAGCACAAAGGGAUGUUCACUAAGCUCUGGGACAAUAGAGCAGGAGGACGCUAGCGACGGCGCCACGCAGUGCGGGCCAACCAGCGCCUGUGCAUGGUGGAGCACCUUGGCUGCCGCGCACUCGCCGCAGGGGGCGUGAAGGCCGCCAAAACCGCGCCGCCUUUGCCGGGAGGGAACUUGCCUUCGGUGGCCUUGACGGCGAAGGCGAUGGAGGGGCCGGAGAGCAGGAGGAGGCCGAACCACUGGACACGUCGCGAGGGGCCCCGGCCGCCGCUCGCGCCAGGCCAGGUUGCGACAUAUGUUAUGACAUGUUUUGUAUUCUAUAAACUUAUUAUUUAUUAUUGUAUUUUAAAAACAUGUGCGUGCAGCACAUGCACUCUACUAGUCUGCUAUAAGAUAUGGUUAGUUGCUCUGA